rnacentral:rRNA from 1 species
UACGUAGGGUGCGAGCGUUGUCCGGAAUUAUUGGGCGUAAAGGGCUCGUAGGCGGUUUGUCGCGUCGGGAGUGAAAACACCGGGCUUAACUCGGUGCUUGCUUUUGAUACGGGCAGACUAGAGGUAUGCAGGGGAGAACGGAAUUCCUGGUGUAGCGGUGAAAUGCGCAGAUAUCAGGAGGAACACCGGUGGCGAAGGCGGUUCUCUGGGCAUUACCUGACGCUGAGGAGCGAAAGUGUGGGGAGCGAACAGG